rnacentral:rRNA from 1 species
GAUGAACGCUGGCGGCGUGCCUAAUACAUGCAAGUCGAGCGAACAGACGAGGAGCUUGCUCCUCUGACGUUAGCGGCGGACGGGUGAGUAACACGUGGAUAACCUACCUAUAAGACUGGGAUAACUUCGGGAAACCGGAGCUAAUACCGGAUAAUAUAUUGAACCGCAUGGUUCAAUAGUGAAAGACGGUUUUGCUGUCACUUAUAGUUGGAUCCGCGCCGCAUUAGCUAGUUGGUAAGGUAACGGCUUACCAAGGCAACGAUGCGUAGCCGACCUGAGAGGGUGAUCGGCCACACUGGAACUGAGACACGGUCCAGACUCCUACGGGAGGCAGCAGUAGGGAAUCUUCCGCAAUGGGCGUAAGCCUGACGGAGCAACGCCGCGUGAGUGAUGAAGGUCUUCGGAUCGUAAAACUCUGUUAUUAGGGAAGAACAAAUGUGUAAGUAACUAUGCACGUCUUGACGGUACCUAAUCAGAAAGCCACGGCUAACUACGUG